GAUGAACGCUGGCGGCGUGCCUAAUACAUGCAAGUCGAGCGAAUGGAUUAAGAGCUUGCUCUUAUGAAGUUAGCGGCGGACGGGUGAGUAACACGUGGGUAACCUGCCCAUAAGACUGGGAUAACUCCGGGAAACCGGGGCUAAUACCGGAUAAUAUUUUGAACUGCAUGGUUCAAAAUUGAAAGGCGGCUUCGGCUGUCACUUAUGGAUGGACCCGCGUCGCAUUAGCUAGUUGGUGAGGUAACGGCUCACCAAGGCAACGAUGCGUAGCCGACCUGAGAGGGGUAUCGGCCACACUGGGACUGAGACACGGCCCAGACUCCUGCGGGAGGCAGCAGUAGGGAAUCUUCCGCAAUGGACGAAAGUCUGACGGAGCAACGCCGCGUGAGUGAGGAAGGCUUUCGGGUCGUAAAACUCUGUUGUUAGGGAAGAACAAGUGCUAGUUGAAUAAGCUGGCACCUUGACGGUACCUAACCAGAAAGCCACGGCUAACUACGUGCCAGCCGCCGCCGUAA
rnacentral:rRNA from 1 species